rnacentral:sRNA from 1 species
GAGGAGGCUGUGGUGAGAGACGGACAGAGACCGGAGAUGUUUUCAAGCCCGGCUCCGGCGGCGUUACAGGCGGUUGCAGCGGCGACGAAGACAACGACAGCGACGGCCACGCCGAGGCACUCGUUCCGGGGGUGAAGCCUCCUGCGCCGGCCUUGCCUCGGAUCCAGGAUGAGAAGACUGAUAAAAGAAGCUAGCUGAACAGCUAUAAAAUGCCCAAAUCUGGGUUCACAAAACCAGUUCAGAGUGAAAAUUCUGACAGUGACAGCAAUAUGGUAGAGAAACCAUAUGGAAGAAAGAGUAAAGACAAGAUUGCAUCCUACAGCAAAACUCCAAAAAUUGAACGAAGUGAUGUGAGCAAGGAGAUGAAAGAGAAAUCAUCCAUGAAACGUAAACUUCCUUUUACCAUUAGCCCAUCAAGAAAUGAAGAACGAGAUUCAGACACAGAUUCAGAUCCAGGACAUACAAGUGAAAAUUGGGGGGAGAGACUUAUAUCUUCUUACAGGACAUACUCAGAGAAAGAAGGUCCAGAAAAGAAGAAGACAAAAAAGGAAGCUGGAAAUAAGAAAUCCACACCAGUUAGCAUUCUUUUUGGUUAUCCACUCUCUGAGCGAAAACAGAUGGCACUUCUUAUGCAGAUGACAGCAAGAGACAACAGUCCAGAUUCCACACCAAAUCAUCCAUCACAAACAACGCCUGCCCAAAAGAAAACUCCCAGUUCUUCAUCUCGACAGAAAGAUAAAGUUAAUAAAAGAAAUGAACGUGGUGAAACUCCUUUACACAUGGCUGCUAUUCGAGGAGAUGUGAAACAAGUUAAAGAAUUAAUAAGUUUAGGGGCAAAUGUGAAUGUGAAAGAUUUUGCAGGUUGGACACCACUGCAUGAAGCUUGCAAUGUUGGAUAUUAUGAUGUUGCUAAGAUACUUAUAGCAGCUGGAGCAGAUGUUAACACACAAGGAUUAGAUGAUGACACUCCACUCCAUGAUUCUGCUAGUAGUGGGCACAGAGAUAUAGUAAAGCUGUUACUUCGUCAUGGUGGAAAUCCAUUUCAAGCUAAUAAACAUGGGGAGCGUCCAGUGGAUGUAGCAGAAACAGAGGAGUUGGAGUUGCUACUAAAAAGAGAGGUGCCUUUAUCUGAUGAUGAUGAAAGUUACACAGGAUCCAGCUACCAAUUUGCAGGAAAUGCCAAGCUCAGCGGAGCAAGUUGAACUAUACCAAGAGUAUGCAAUCAGCAAAUUCCAGAUUGUGAGAAAGCCAAACAGCCUUGGUUCUUUAACAGAUAUUUUGUGUGGAAAAGAAACAGAAGAAGACCGUGUAGAAAAAAAUAAAAAUGAUUUAAAA